UUCCUCAUUUUUUUCCAGACUGGUUUUCUGCACUCUGAUGUUUUCCACUGCAUCCACAGUGCAGAGCAUCCUCCUCCCCAGAAGACUCUUUUUCCCCCCCACUCAUCUGUUUACCCCAUGCCUUUGCUUUUCCACCACUUCGGCAGAAAAGAGUCCAAGCCAAGAUAAAAACCAAAUAGGAAGCAACAACAUUCCUUCAAUACUCUACUGUUCUGAGCAUCAAAGCGUGCCUCUGCUGCUGAGGGGUUCCAACUGGUAUCACAGCCAUCACUGUACUUUCUGACAAGGAUGUUAUGUUGCUUAGGCAACUCCUAAUUGUCUUUUGGGAUGCUGAUGAAACAAGGCAUUUUUCCUGCGUGAAGGUCACUGUAGCACAGUGACACUGAAUAUAGGUCAGAGCUAUGAGGCACUGAAAAACCAGUUCAGAGACCAAAAGAAGAAAGAAAGGAGAAAUUUCAAGUAACUUGGAGGAAAAGUCUGUUUCAACGUCCGGACACGUCAGUAACUCUCUACAGAAGAAUGUGCUUUGGUCUUCAGUUCCACCCAACUCUAAACAGAAACUUAGCAAGACAACCGCCAAAUUACUGGCAGUCACCUUGAGCAAGGCUUGUAUGGCAACCUCGACCUAACACUCCACACGCAAGGACCAGCUUUAAGCCAGUGUUAUAUCACACAGCUAUGACACAUUUUUCUACUGCAAACUAUCUAAGAACCAGCCAAGAAAACAAAACUACACAUUCCUCCAGAUAGCUGAGGCCUAAGAGCAGUUUGUUUCCAUCAGCUUUCAACAUGGGAACAUUGCCAGAGAAGCUAAAGUAUGGAAUUAAUAAAUUUGCUAUGCCCUCCACAAGCAUUUCUGAGCACAGAACAUGAUUUC